GGAGAGAUGCGAGAGCGGUUGAAUCGGGCGGUCUCGAAAACCGUUGAGCCCUCAGGGGUUCCGAGGGUUCGAAUCCCUCUCUCUCCG
rnacentral:tRNA from 1 species